rfam:Canis lupus familiaris chromosome 20, whole genome shotgun sequence.
GCCUGGAUGGCUCAGUGGUUGAGCAUCUGUCUUUAGCUCAGGGCAUGAUCCUGGGAUCUGGGAUCAAGUCCCACAUCAGGGCU